UUUCCUGUCAGCCUACUGUCAUAUAAGGGACACUAGAGCCCACAAAAAAAAUGUGUCUCUAGGCAUGGAUGUGGGCAUUUUUAGCAUUCCACCACUGUGGACACACACUGUGAAAGGAGUCUUAAUUCCAACCAGACAUCCCAGCAUUAGUGUAAACCAUGGAAAACUUCAGUCUUAACACAAACACAGGAAAACAUACAGAAACAUAACCUUAGACUCUUCCCACUGAGUUUCAAGAUGGGAAAUGAAAGCACAAUGUUAUGGCUGCAUAGGAUGUAACCUCUGGGUUUAUGUGAAUGUCUUUUUACGGUUCUAACGUUAUUUAUCACAUUUCUUCAGUUACCCGGAUUAUCAACACGUACUGUAGAUUAUAAUUAGUGGUAGCUCUGCAAGCAAAAGACUAAACACCUUUUCUUAAAAUAUAUGCCAUAAACAUCUGAACGUACACUAUGAUGAAGCUCGUUUGUCAGUUUUUACUUUUUGGGAAUCACAUUUAAGCUGAGAUUAAACAUACUUUUAAUUAGCCUAGAUUUCUGCUGAUUUUUUGGGGGGGGAGGUUGGAUGUAAUAUUCUGAUCUUAAAUGUUUUUCAUGUGCUUAAUUAAUCUGUAUAUUUGCUACAAAUAUGCUACACUUUGUGAAUUAAGUUAAUAAAAUAAACAAACUUUUCAAUGAUAUUCUGAUUUAUUAAAAAUGACCAUAUAGGAGAUCUCUAAAUUGGUUAUGAUCAUGCCACCUUUCUUUGGAAUGCAUAAAAAUAUCCAUGACAGCCUGGUAAAAGCUUGAGAACGAAUUGUAUAUUCUACUGUAUCAGACAAAUAAACACUGGAGUGUUAUUUACUUGAAACCUUGUAUUACACAAUAGUAAGGUUGGGAUAUGAAGAUAUGUAACAAUAAAAAUUUCCUGGACAAACUAACAUUUAAUUAAUUAUGGCAGAUCCAAUCUCUCAACCCUGGAAUGCACUUCCAUGAACUUCCCAGUCUCUGAAGAGACAUGAGAGAGCAGGGAGGUGUGAUGAUUAGCUGGAGGAAGAAGGACAAGGUCUUAUCAUCAACUCUCACACUAAACGUAUUGUGAAGGCUAGUUAGAAUGUUUUUAAAAAUGGUUCCUUAAUUUCCUUUCAGACAUCCUCCUCUCAGCCCUUCCUCCACCAGUUCUCACUGGGGACAACCCUUCAUCCUCCCCCUCACUGGCCAGCAGAUGCAGUUAUGGCAUUUUGUGAACUCAUCUUUACUGGAAAAACUAGAUUUCUUGUGUGCACAGUCAAUGAUUCUCCUACCUGAAGACUGGAUCUCUUCAGCUUUUCUGCAGUUUCACUGCACAUUGUGUCUCCUUCUCUGAUCAAUGUACUCCUUUUCUACCUCAUUUUUAAUCGACAUGCCAUUUUCUCUCAAUUUCACAAAAUGUGAGAAUACAAAGUACGGAAUAUAUAAUUUUGUUGCCAAUUAUCUUUACAAAUACGGAAAAAAAACUUGGUUGGAUAAACAAACUUUUUUGUUGUAACUACUGUUGUAAGAAAAAAUAUUCAUGUAAAUUAAGUAAUGUGUAUGGACAAUGCUGAUGUCCUUGAACAUGAGAAUUAUUUUUGUUUGGGGUGGUGAAAGUGGACUUUUCCUCUUUGUCCACUCCCUUUGUGUUUUCCAACAAAACAUACGAUAGCUUUUCAGGGAAAAAAAUGGAAAAGAAUGGACAAGAGUAUUGGAAUGAUAUCCAUGCACAUCCAAAGAGGAAGUGACCUCUUUGAACUGCAGAGGGAAACGUACUGAGACCUACACAUGCACAUCACCCGUCACCAGAACUACUACGAACUCCUAGAGCAAACAACAUGACCAUUGUGUUCUACCCUGUCAUCACAAUGAAAUAGAUGAACUGUAGUCUGGUGAAAAAGUUAAAAUUUCUCUCCCCAAAAAAUUUCUUUUCUCCAUUCUCUCUCUUCUUACUACAUUUCUGAGUGAAACUGGGGGACAACAACUGAAAACAGUGCCUCAUGAUUGAUAUCAACCUCUGAGAAACGUCUGUUUUUAUUCAGUCUCGAGUUUACUCAUUAAAAUAGUUUGAGCCGGGCAGUGAAACUUUAAACCUGUUUCCAAAACAGACUGUUCAUUUUCCGAGUGGAUUAGAAGCUGGAAGCAGCAGCAGCUGCUUCAAGAAGCUGCUAACUGCUCUCCUGUCUGUGUCCGAGCCGACACCAGCAGAUGUUG